CCUCAACGAACGGGCAGACACCUUUACGCGGUGUUGGGGAUUAGUACUUGCAGUUGAUUUUACCACAACUGUUUGAGGAAGCUAAGAUCUGCC
rnacentral:ribozyme from 1 species